rnacentral:rRNA from 1 species
UUGAACGCUGGCGGCAGGCCUAACACAUGCAAGUCGAACGGUAACAGGAAGCAGCUUGCUGCUUUGCUGACGAGUGGCGGACGGGUGAGUAAUGUCUGGGAAACUGCCUGAUGGAGGGGGAUAACUACUGGAAACGGUAGCUAAUACCGCAUAACGUCGCGAGACCAAGGAGGGGGACCUUAGGGCCUCUUGCCAUCGGAUGUGCCCAGAUGGGAUUAGCUAGUAGGUGGGGUAACGGCUCACCUAGGCGACGAUCCCUAGCUGGUCUGAGAGGAUGACCAGCCACACUGGAACUGAGACACGGUCCAGACUCCUACGGGAGGCAGCAGUGGGGAAUAUUGCACAAUGGGCGCAAGCCUGAUGCAGCCAUGCCGCGUGUAUGAAGAAGGCCUUCGGGUUGUAAAGUACUUUCAGCGGGGAGGAAGGGAGUAAAGUUAAUACCUUUGCUCAUUGACGUUACCCGCAGAAGAAGCACCGGCUAACUCCGUG